ACCACCCACCCCUCAGAUCCUCGCCGCCACCCACCUCCACCGCCGCCCUCACUCUCCCCUCACCCCCUCGUCCUCGACCAACAUCGCCGCCUGCCCUUCCUACACCCCGGAGGCGGCCUACACCCUUGACCACGAGACGAGCGAUGUCCUCAUCCUUCUCGGCCGGUGGCGAGGAGAGACGGCCAAGGAGCUCGGCGACCUCGCGCUCUUCCUCGCCCUGCUCUACCGUCCGGCCUCCGGCUGCUCGUGGUCGACCUGCACAGCCUCCUCUCUCUCCAGUCCGUCGUCUGUUGCUCCCACACCAUGGAGCUCACCACCACCGGUGGUGAUCUGCUUCUUCCUGACCAUGGAGGUGUGCAUCUUCCAUUCAAGCUGCAGCUCACCGACGAAGGAGUCUUCCUCCUGAGCGCCCACACGGAGGAGUUGCAACAACCCUGGAUCUGUCCGUUGGCCCUGUUGAUUUUUGUUGAAGGUCGUCGGGCUUUUCAGUGAGGCGCUGGAAGAGCACUCCCCAUGCUUGUCUUGAGGAGAACACCACCUAGGACUUGGUGGCUGACAUUUGAGAAGGUCAGGCAACACCUCGACAUUCCAGAGUGGCAAGCAACUGCAAAUACAUCUUCUUUUGUCAACUGCAAUAUAUACCCAGCUAUAAAGAAACCACUUGAAGAAAAUAUUUAAGAGAGGCAGGCAGGCAACAUGGUGACUCUAGUGCGGACAAGAUGCUCACUGAGGUGCCCAAGUACAAGCAGACCACGCCCUAGGCGAUCUGUUCUUCUUUCUUGCUUUUUACCCAUGAGAAUUAAUAUCUCGAGAUGGUGGGUUAAGUGUAUGGAUGGCCCCUGGUGAAGUUUUUUGCUGUGAUGCUCUGUUUUGGGGUUAGUCAGUAGUACUCUGUGAUGUUCCGGUUCUCCUAGCAUGGGGCAUAUAUUAUUGUGCUAUGAAUUGUUUGCAUGCCCUUUUGGAUGCCGGUUUCGGCUGCUGCAUCUGUGCUGAUAGUUUUUGUGCAGUGGGAUGUUCAGUUUGGUGCAUAAGCCUGGCAUCCUCAAAUUUUCAUUGGUGUUCUCUCGUGUUCUGUUUUAGUUUGUUGAAUGUAAUUUAACAUUAUAAAUUGUUGAAAGCUUUGUUCAAAUUUGACACUCCUUGAUAUCUCUAGCUUGAGAUAUCAUUGAAAAGCUUCCUUUUGCUUGAUAUAACCAUUGGUGUAUGUUCUUCUAAUACUCCAAUUGUUGAUCAAUAUCUUACUCCUGUAGUUGUCCUACCGUAGUACUCCUAUAGGAGUAGAUGUGUACUCCUGUUGUUUGUCCUACCUGUAGUGCAGAGAUGGAGUAGUUUGUCCUGUGUGUGUACUCCUGUAGUUUUUUGCAAUUAAAUUUUCACAAAUGGCCAAAGCUUUCCACUAUUCAUAUUUCCUAAAAAAGAAACAUAAGCUCUUGAAUUACUCAUAUUGUUCCAAUGUUCAUAUUUCAGUAAACCAUAUUAUUCCACUGUUUGUAUCAUGGAUCACACAUACUCCUAUUCAUGCUUUUUGAAAAUUGUUUUGAGUACCAUGGAGUACUAUCUGAUCAUGAGCUAACUUUUCAUGUCAACCAUUUUUUCACUGCAGCAAGUAUACUGAAACUAAAAUUGAGCUGAAAGUUUAAGUACCUCCAAAAUUGAGCUGCUGCUGGAAUCACCAAAUUAUGCAUGCAACCAUUUGUUCACUUCGGCUAGUGUACUGCUGCCGUUUUUGCUUUCAAGUACUGCUACUACUGUUAUUGCUUUCAGUACUAUUGCUGCUGUUGCUUCUCAGUAUGGCUACUGCUAUUGCUUCUCAAUAAUGCUGCUGCUGUUGCUUCUCACUACUGCGGAUGUUUCCCUGCUGUUGUUCAAAUCAAAAUUGUUGUUGUUGUUGCUUCUUAGUACUGCUGUUCUUUUCCUAUUGUUGUUCUAGUCAAAACUGCUGCUGCUUCCCUCCUGCUAUUUCAAAUUGCUUCUACUGUUGUUUAAGUCAAAACUUAGAGCCCCUGUAGCUUUGCUCAACCCCUAAAUUGUUGUUGUUAUUUUAAAUUGCUCAAUUAUUUGAAUUGCCACUGCUACUAUCUCAUUUUAACUAGCUGGAGGACAAAAAGCAUUGUACUAGCUAAAUUUGUGUCAUCAUUCUAAUCUAAAUAACUGUCAUUUUUUGAAUGGUCUCUUCUUGGUUUAUUGGUUCCAGUUUUUCUAAUUCUUCUCUGCUGAUUUUUUAACGCUAAUUCUUCUCUAUUGAUACAUGUAACAGGGCGACCGUGGAAGGCAUAUCACCAUUCUGUUAGCCCAGUCCUAACAGGAGCAGGUGCCUAGUUUACGAUCGCUAUCGAAAGAGCUCCAUGUUGAAGAAACAUAGCUCGCAAACGUAUCUUGUUAUUACACAUGUGGAGCUUGUAACCGUGAUUGCCAUCCUUUUAGAGCUUGUAGCUAGUUAUUACACUUGUAGAGAUUCUGGUAGAGCUUGUAUAUGUUGGAGCUUAAUUACGUGUAGAGCUUGUAGAUCUUGUAAAGUAUUGCAUAUGUUAUUUGUACAACAGGAGCUCUGUACUGAAUCUGGAGUAUUACGUGUGUUUUUUGUUUGUGCCAA